CACGUUCUAAGAAAGGGCGCGGAAUAAAGCCAUACAAAUAUUUCAAAAUCUUAAUGUCCCCUUCCUUUUUUAAUUUCUCUUUGAAUGUCCUUUCGCUUUAUUUUGUAUUGUGAUUAAAAAUUGUUGUCGUUGUGUGUGUGAUAUAUUUCCGAAUUUUCGUUCUUCGUGUGUACCAAUCUAUCCUAUAUUAUAUCGAUGCUUGAAGCAUUCAUUUUAUUAAAAUUUA